AUAGCAAUGUGAAACUUUCGUAGAUAUUUUCUUGUUUUAAGUGUAUUAUUUUUUACAAUAAAAGGUUCCAGUCCACAAAGCGCAAAAAUCAGUGAGAGCAAAUGCAACAUUCAAUGGUCAAAUCAGUAGAUAUACAGUAGCAGCCUGAAAAUGUUUAUAUUAACAUGAAUUAACUCUGCUUUUAGUAACUAUAAUCGUUUUAGGAGUAUCUACCUCUGAAUAAGGAAAUCAGGGUAAAGAGUCCCUUUGAUAACAAUGGUGCUCUCUCACCCCUCCUCCUUCUCUUUAUCCUCCGCUCCCUCUCUUCCCUCCCUCUCUUCCCUCCCUCUCUUCCCUCCCUCUCACGACUCCACAUCCCCAGGCUCUGUUGGACGAGCGAUCACCAUGGAGGAAGGUUUCUCUGUCAUGUACAUCACGAGCUCCACCGGAGACUCCGUCAGGGAUUGCAUUGCCAGGGCUGAGGAGACCUUCAGGAAACAGCACCCUGCCUACACAGACCACCUGUUCACAGGUGGGGAUGCUGGAGGAUCUGUUGUUCCAACUGGAGGAGACCUAUCUGAAGAACAAGGCUCAGAGGGCCAUUAGGAAGCAGAGGACUGGGGCACAGGAGGUGGUGGAAAAAUCCAGGGGAAGACCCAAAGCAGAGGCCAAAGGAAGGGCUACAGUGGUGACGGACAAGGCCAAGGGCUCUCUCACAGCAGUAGAACCAAUGACCUUACCACAUCCAGGAUCUGACGGCCAGGAUAGUGAAGACCCGCCCUCAUCCUCAAAAUGAAAGAACAUUUUCCCUCUCUCCCUCUCACAAAAGCCUCAUCUUCAGCCCGAGCAUCUUUCACACCAUUACUCUAGGCUGGCAGAAAUAAAUGGACUCUGCAGCCUUGCUUUCUCUCUGAUUUAGGGUCUCUUUUUUUAACACUCAUCCUUGUUUACUCGUUAAUAUACAGUGUCUCCAGGCCCACACUCUAGAUGAAAGACCUAGGUGAUUUAAACGUGUGGGAAUGUUCAAUUUGUGCAUAAGGAUAUGUUUUCAUGUUUGAACUUUAUCAUUUAUGCUUGUUCAUGCGAGUACUCAUGUAAAGCAGCUUAAGAUCUGGUUUGUAAACACACAAAAAAACAUAUGCCAUAGUAGCAUGAUUUUAAUGUGUGCAUGCCCAUUUUGGGAUUCACAGCAAAUCCGGCUUCAGAAACUGUGUCGAACAUUAAAAAAAACUACACUAAGUCAUGACAUUAUUUUCAUCAUCAUGUAUGGUUAGCUACCAAGGAAUACAAAACAUUUUUCCAUAGAUAACUCAUCCCUUUUGAGGAAAGGGAAACAAACAUACUUCUUCCUCAAGUAGCUACAGUAGCUUCACGUUGUGUACAGUAUGAUGACCAUGUUACUACAGUCUGGAGGUUUCCAGUCAUUUCAAUGCCAAAGGUGCAGUUUGGGGAUUGAUCAGGCAGGGCAAAACUUUGUGAGUAAGCACAAUCAGUGGGGCCCUCGUCAUUCAUGUGCCCACUGCUGGUCCAUCAACUGGCCGGUCAGCACCUGCUUCCUCUGGGACAGCCAAUCACAGGCGUUCAAUGCUAUCGACAGCUGCUCUCGCUCUCUUGUCUCUUUCCCUGUCUCUCUCACUCUCCCUUACUGCUGCUGAAUUAUCCACAUUUCCCUAUACCUGAGGAUUAGUUCAUGGGAUCGUACUCUACAGUACCUGAUUAUCAGUGUUUCUCUUUUUUUCCCUCUCCUUCUCACUCGCUCUCUCACUUUCUUUUCUCUCUCUCAUCCCACCCUCCAUCUGUCCCUCCCUUCUUCCCUUUCCCUUCAGAUAAGUGUGUAAUACCUUGGGGAUUCUGUUGACACCCGAGCCGGCAUGAGCAAUGUUGUGAUCAGCAAUAUGGUCAUGCAUUAAUUUAAUUCCUGAAUAAAUGAAUGGUAUUUAUUGAGUGGUCAGGGGAGAAAAUGUUGGCAUUGUACUUAUUGGCAUCUUUAAAAGAUUCAUUAUGCCAGAGGUAGUUUACAAUUGGUAAACAAUUAUUAUAAUCCAAGCCUACAUGUAUAAUUAAUUGAUGCAUUAAAAGCCAUCACCUUG
rnacentral:lncRNA from 13 species